UACGUAGGGUGCAAGCGUUAAUCGGAAUUACUGGGCGUAAAGCGUGCGCAGGCGGUUAUGUAAGACAGAUGUGAAAUGCCCGGGCUUAACCUGGGAACUGCAUUGGUGACUGGCAGGCUUUGAGUGUGGCAGAGGGAGGUAGAAUUCCACGUGUAGCAGUGAAAUGCGUAGAGAUGUGGAGGAAUACCGAUGGCGAAGGCAGCCUCCUGGGCCAACACUGACGCUCAUGCACGAAAGCGUGGGGAGCAAACAGG
rnacentral:rRNA from 1 species